UACGGAGGGUGCAAGCGUUGUUCGGAAUCACUGGGCGUAAAGCGCGUGUAGGCGGUCUUUUAAGUCUGAUGUGAAAGCCCGGGGCUUACCCCCGGAAGUGCAUUGGAAACUGGGAGACUAGAGUACCGGAGAGGAGGGUGGAAUUCCUGGUGUAGCGGUGAAAUGCGUAGAUAUCAGGAGGAACACCGGUGGCGAAGGCGGCCCUCUGGACGGAUACUGACGCUGAGACGCGAAAGCGUGGGGAG
rnacentral:rRNA from 1 species